GUAGGUGGCAAGCGUUGUCCGGAAUUAUUGGGCGUAAAGCGCGCGCAGGCGGUCCUUUAAGUCUGAUGUGAAAGCCCACGGCUCAACCGUGGAGGGUCAUUGGAAACUGGGGGACUUGAGUACAGAAGAGGAAAGCGGAAUUCCAAGUGUAGCGGUGAAAUGCGUAGAGAUUUGGAGGAACACCAGUGGCGAAGGCGGCUUUCUGGUCUGUAACUGACGCUGAGGCGCGAAAGCGUGGGGAGCAAACAGGAUUAGAUACCCUGGUAGUCCACGCCGUAAACGAUGAGUGCUAAGUGUUGGGGGGGUUUCCCGCCCCCUUAGUGCUGCAGCUAACGCAUUAAGCACUCCGCCUGGGGAGUACGGCCGCAAGGCUG
rnacentral:rRNA from 1 species